rnacentral:rRNA from 1 species
GAGUUUGAUCCUGGCUCAGAUUGAACGCUGGCGGCGUGCCUAACACAUGCAAGUCGAGCGGUAACAGGUGUAGCAAUACAUGCUGACGAGCGGCGGACGGGUGAGUAACGCUUGGGAAUCUGCCUGUUAGUGGGGGACAACCCGGGGAAACUCGGGCUAAUACCGCAUACGCACUACGGUGGAAAGCCGGGGACCGCAAGGCCUGGCGCUAACAGAUGAGCCCAAGUCGGAUUAGCUAGUUGGUAGGGUAACGGCCUACCAAGGCGACGAUCCGUAACUGGUCUGAGAGGACGACCAGUCACACCGGAACUGAGACACGGUCCGGACUCCUACGGGAGGCAGCAGUGGGGAAUAUUGGACAAUGGGGGAAACCCUGAUCCAGCGACGCCGCGUGGGUGAAGAAGGCCUGCGGGUUGUAAAGCCCUUUCGGUGGGGAAGAAAAGUUUCGACCUAACACGUCGGGACCUUGACGUAACCCACUAAAGAAGCACCGGCUAACUCUGUGCCAGCAGCCGCGGUAAUACAGAGGGUGCGAGCGUUAAUCGGAAUUACUGGGCGUAAAGCGCGCGUAGGCGGCUUUGCAAGUCGGAUGUGAAAUCCCCAGGCUUAACCUGGGAACUGCUUCCGAGACUGCAUCGCUAGAGUAUGGGAGAGGGAAGUGGAAUUUCAGGUGUAGCGGUGAAAUGCGUAGAUAUCUGAAGGAACAUCAGUGGCGAAAGCGACUUCCUGGACCAAUACUGACGCUCAUGUGCGAAAGCGUGGGGAGCAAACAGGAUUAGAUACCCUGGUAGUCCACGCCA